AGAUAGAGCUUUCCCUUCGGGGGACAAAGUGACAGGUGGUGCAUGGUUGUCGUCAGCUCGUGUCGUGAGAUGUUGGGUUAAGUCCCGCAACGAGCGCAACCCUUAAGCUUAGUUGCCAGCAUUAAGUUGGGCACUCUAAGUUGACUGCCGGUGACAAACCGGAGGAAGGUGGGGAUGACGUCAAAUCAUCAUGCCCCUUAUGAUUUGGGCUACACACGUGCUACAAUGGACAAUACAAAGGGCAGCUAAACCGCGAGGUCAUGCAAAUCCCAUAAAGUUGUUCUCAGUUCGGAUUGUAGUCUGCAACUCGACUACAUGAAGCUGGAAUCGCUAGUAAUCGUAGAUCAGCAUGCUACGGUGAAUACGUUCCCGGGUCUUGUACGCACCGCCCGUCACACCACGAGAGUCUGUAACACCCGAAGCCGGUGGAGUAACCAUUUAUGGAGCUAGCCGUCGAAGGUGGGACAAAUGAUUGGGGUGAAGUCGUAACAAGGUAGCCGUAUCGGAAGGUGCGG
rnacentral:rRNA from 1 species